rnacentral:rRNA from 1 species
GAUGAACGCUGGCGGCGUGCCUAAUACAUGCAAGUCGAGCGAACAGACGAGGAGCUUGCUCCUCUGACGUUAGCGGCGGACGGGUGAGUAACACGUGGAUAACCUACCUAUAAGACUGGGAUAACUUCGGGAAACCGGAGCUAAUACCGGAUAAUAUAUUGAACCGCAUGGUUCAAUAGUGAAAGACGGUUUUGCUGUCACUUAUAGAUGGAUCCGCGCCGCAUUAGCUAGUUGGUAAGGUAACGGCUUACCAAGGCAACGAUGCGUAGCCGACCUGAGAGGAUGAUAGGCCACACUAGAACUGAGACACGGUCCAGACUCCUACGGGAGGCAGCAGUAGGGAAUCUUCCGCAAAGGGCGAAAGCCUGACGGAGCAACGCCGCGUGAGUGAUGAAGGUCUUCGGAUCGUAAAACUCUGUUAUUAGGGAAGAACAAAUGUGUAAGUAACUAUGCACGUCUUGACGGUACCUAAUCAGAAAGCCACGGCUAACUACGUG